GCGGCGUCUAGGAGCUGGAGUUUCAGCGAUCCGGAAUCACGUAGGAAGAGAAGAGUAGCUGGCUAUAAGGUUUACUCCGUUGAACAGAAGAUGAAGGGAUCCAUUAGAAAAAGCUUUAAAUGGUUCAAAAACAUUAUAGGAAGCAAAGGAGAUUAAUUAAGGGGCACAGUGGCAUCUCCAACCCUCAGGUUUGUAAUUAGCAUAAUGAGGAGAGAGGUGGGGGCUUGAAGAUAUGGUAGGGACUUGGAUUGCUUCACAUGGCUCACACCCAUAGCAUUUCUUCUCACAAGUUGGUGGCUUUGAUCCUAUUCUUCUUCUUUUCUCCAUCUCCUCUAUAUCUUUUCUUUCAUUGGGCUUCAAAGUUGGCCUAUUAGAGCUGUGAUGUGGGCUUAGUAUAUCUGCAGUGCCAAUAGUAACUAUUGUUGGAGAAAAGAAAAACAAAACUCAGACAUUCAUAAGAAUAUAAAACUGAUCCUAUUUCCUGCAAGGAGAUAACCCCAAAAAUACAUUCUGACCAACCUGUAGUUCAGAUUAAUAUCAUUAUUAUUAUUAUUAUUUUACCGUUAAUCAUACAAAUACCUGGGACCACAGUUUAGAGACUAAACUAGUCACUACUACUACUACUACACUACAAGUCACUAAUUUUCUCAAACAAGUUAAAACAACUAAAAGUUGAACCUAAUAUUGUCUUGCUAACAGAAAACUAUUCAGAGAAGUAUUUCCUUCACACCUACAUAUCCACAUGUCUUCUUAUCAUCAUGAACAUACACAUACACAUACAUAGCAAUGGUUUGAUCGGUAUACUAAGAAAGGUAUAGAAAAUAAGUUGAACCUGGAUAAAAAGUAGCGUGGUUGGAAGCAAUGGGCCUACUUGUUGCACAAACCGAGCUCACUAUUUGUAUCAUCACCACUGUAACCAUAAACAACUUUUUUAUUUCUGUCACUUGCAUGAUGAUGAUGAUGAAUGGAUGAUAAUGAUGAUAAUGAUGGCUACAAUGAUGUAUAUAGAGGCCUGAAGAGGAGAAAGAGGAAGAAGAAAGAAGAAGCUUCGUUGUUUUAGAGGCUUUUAGGCCUAAUGCCUAUAACAUAGUACAUGAAGUAAAUAUUCGAAUCAGAAAUGAGAAGAUAACAGAUAUGAGUGCUACAGAAGAAUCUUGUGUACGAGAUGGUCCAUUCAUCAGAACAACGCCAUUAUGUAAUUGUCGCUUUAAAGAGGAAAAUACAUAUACCUGUAACUUUUUAAUUGGCAGAUG